GGUCACUUGGUGUAGUGGUUAUCACAUCUGUCUUACACCGCAACAAGGCGUGGUUUGCACACAGAAGGCCGGCAGUUCGAUCCUGCCAGUGAUCA